rnacentral:sRNA from 1 species
AGUAACAGCAAUAUCGUUAUUACAUGGUCUGCGAAAUUUUCGUCAGCACCAGGGAGGAUAACGUUGCGUAAGCAACGGCCCGAAGGGCGAGGCGCAGCCGAGUAAUCCUCCCGGAUGCACCA